UAGUAAGCUCGGCCCACUUCACGGAGAAACAGCAUGUCGUCCCUCACCCUUUCCAUGCAUCGUCACACUGCCAGCGCCUCGCGCGUCGGUGCGGCUGCCUGGGUGAAAAACGCCUGCGCUCCAGCGAGCUUUUAUUUUGGGUAUUGGUUUAGCCACUGGCGCGCCUGAUACCCAAACGGCGCCCACUUGAACGGGUCGCCUACCAGAGAAAAUCUCACCCCCGGUCGGCCUCCCGACCGGGGG
rnacentral:sRNA from 1 species